rnacentral:tRNA from 1 species
GGGGUAAUAAAAAGUGGACUUCUAAUCCACUAUAAAGCAAAUUUUGUUUAUACCCUU